rnacentral:rRNA from 1 species
AGUUUGAUCCUGGCUCAGGAUGAACGCUGGCGGCGUGCCUAAUACAUGCAAGUCGAACGAAUCUCUUUUAGAGAUGAGUGGCGAACGGGUGAGUAAUACAUAGGUAACCUGCCCCUGUGCGGGGGAUAACAGGAGGAAACUCCUGCUAAUACCGCAUAGCCAUGAGCACCGCAUGGAGCUCAUGCCAAAUAUCCUUUAUGGGAUAGCGCAGGGAUGGACCUAUGGCGCAUUAGCUGGUUGGCGGGGCAACGGCCCACCAAGGCAACGAUGCGUAGCCGGCCUGAGAGGGCGGACGGCCACAUUGGGACUGAGACACGGCCCAGACUCCUACGGGAGGCAGCAGUAGGGAAUUUUCGGCAAUGGGGGAAACCCUGACCGAGCAACGCCGCGUGAGCGAAGAAGGCCUUCGGGUCGUAAAGCUCUGUUGUAAAGGAAGAACGGCGCAUACAGGAAAUGGUAUGCGAGUGACGGUACUUUACCAGAAAGCCACGGCUAACUACGUGCCAGCAGCCGCGGUAAUACGUAGGUGGCGAGCGUUAUCCGGAAUCAUUGGGCGUAAAGAGGGAGCAGGCGGCCGCAAGGGUCUGUGGUGAAAGACCGAAGCUAAACUUCGGUAAGCCAUGGAAACCGGGCGGCUAGAGUGCGGAAGAGGAUCGUGGAAUUCCAUGUGUAGCGGUGAAAUGCGUAGAUAUAUGGAGGAACACCAGUGGCGAAGGCGACGGUCUGGGCCGCAACUGACGCUCAUUCCCGAAAGCGUGGGGAGCAAAUAGGAUUAGAUACCCUAGUAGUCCACGCCGUAAACGAUGGUCACUAAGUGUCGGGGGUCAAACCCCGGUGCUGCAGUCAACGCAAUAAGUGACCCGCCUGAGUAGUACGUUCGCAAGAAUGAAACUCAAAGGAAUUGACG